rnacentral:rRNA from 1 species
UACGUAGGGUGCAAGCGUUGUCCGGAAUUAUUGGGCGUAAAGAGCUCGUAGGCGGUUUGUUGCGUCGGCUGUGAAAUCCCGAGGCUCAACCUCGGGUCUGCAGUCGAUACGGGCAAACUAGAGUGUGGUAGGGGAGACUGGAAUUCCUGGUGUAGCGGUGAAAUGCGCAGAUAUCAGGAGGAACACCGGCGGCGAAGGCGGGUCUCUGGGCCAUAACUGACGCUGAGGAGCGAAAGCGUGGGGAGCGAACAGG